rnacentral:lncRNA from 12 species
GGGGGGGGGGGGGGGGGGGGGGGGGGGGGGGGGGGGGGGGGGGGCCAGCACGGAGACCCGGGAAUGAUGAGGGGAAUCUCAGUGCUCCCCGCCCUCAAUCCCUUUCAGCCGUCACGGGAGGGUCUCGGUGCCCCGCAGACGUGGCCUCGGGUGGCGGAGUGGCGGGGGGGGGGGGGGGGGGGGGGGGGGGGGGGGGGGGGGGGGGGGGGGGGGGGGGGGGGGGGGGGGGGUGGCGGAGUGGCGGUGGCGUGUCCCCAGUGCCAUCGGUGCCGGACUCGGACAGGUAUUCAGUCCAUUUGCUGCUUCUAUUGGCUCUACUGGAAUGGUUGGAGAGGAGCCCUUCCUGCUGUGCAAGCUGAUGUGCCACACUCCAGGUUGCUCGAGUACCCUGGAAUCAUCUAAAUCUCCCAUGGUUGCUCCUGACACCGCCCCAUUCUCAGUUGGUUGGCUGCUGAGGGCUUCCAAAUCCAAGGCUGGGGGUUGCUGCAGGUGUUCCUGAACAGGGAACCCCCCUGUACAGCUCAAUCUCACUUCCUGGACUUUCCUUAAGUCAAGGCUACAUUGUGGACUUACCUGUGUUUUAAUUCAAAUCAUGAUUUCAUACUUUGAGUUAUACUCUGCAAAAGCUGGAGGAGUCAAAAUGAUAUAUUGCCAGAUGCAGAUGUCAAUGUUUUAACCAAAGCAGCAGUCUUCUGGUCAUAUCCCACACAAGAGUGGAAAACCAGGCCAAAAUGGAGCUCACAAACACCAAUCAAAUAAAUGGCUACUAUAAAUGUAAGCAAGUGGGAAUAAAUAAAAAAAUUCCCAAACCAGAAAAGAAGUAUUUAAAAAGGUAAAAUAAUUGUUUGCCUAGAAAAACAUCUGUAAUCUUGUGACUUUUUUUCCCUUAUAGGAAAUAAAAUUGGUAGUGAAUGGGUUACAACACUUCCUUGAUGCAAACGUUUUCUUUACAGAGAGCAAAGGCCUGAUUUCAAGCUCAGACUCAAAUUGGUUGUUCCCAUUGUUGGCAUUUCCAAACCUUCCUCAAGCCAUUAUUUUAUUUCUUCCUCCAGGUCCACUGUUCCCUGCCUUUGGUAUCUGCUUGAUGUUCUGACUGUUUCUCAUUUGCAAGUCAUAGAAUUAGAGAGAAAGGGUUGGAAGUGACCUCAGAGAUCAUUUAGUUCCACCCCCUUGCUUGUGAGCAGGGACACCUUUCACUAGAUCAGAUUGCUCAGAGCUCCAUCUAACCUGGUCUUGAACACUUAGAGGGAUCACAGCUGAUCUCUGCUUCCAGAAACAUCCAGAACCCAAUGGUAUCUUCCUGCCCACUUUCCCCAGUUUUAAUUUCUGGGUGAGCUGUGGUUUGGGCUGUGACUUCCUUUCUCUCCCAUUACUCCAGAUAAAAGCACUACUGCUUCAGCAGUUGUAGGAGGAGAAUCUGUGAAGGUCAGUAACCAGUUGCAUCAGCUUCAAAGAUGUGCCAUCCCAACAUCCAUUAUGCCCUUGUAUUAUAUUCACCCUAAACGGAUA